GACGAACGCUGGCGGCGUGCUUAACACAUGCAAGUCGAGCGAUGAAGCUUCCUUCGGGAAGUGGAUUAGCGGCGGACGGGUGAGUAACACGUGGGUAACCUGCCUCAAAGUGGGGGAUAGCCUUCCGAAAGGAAGAUUAAUACCGCAUAAUAUAAGAGAAUCGCAUGAUUUUUUUAUCAAAGAUUUAUUGCUUUGAGAUGGACCCGCGGCGCAUUAGCUAGUUGGUAAGGUAACGGCUUACCAAGGCAACGAUGCGUAGCCGACCUGAGAGGGUGAUCGGCCACAUUGGAACUGAGACACGGUCCAGACUCCUACGGGAGGCAGCAGUGGGGAAUAUUGCGCAAUGGGGGAAACCCUGACGCAGCAACGCCGCGUGGGUGAUGAAGGUCUUCGGAUUGUAAAGCCCUGUUUUCUGGGACGAUAAUGACGGUACCAGAGGAGGAAGCCCCGGCUAACUACGUGC
rnacentral:rRNA from 1 species